rnacentral:misc_RNA from 1 species
GGGCAAUUAAUUUUUUGUUCUUGAAUAACUAUGUUCAUAAUUUAUAGGUAUAGAAAUUAAUUCAAGUUAAAUAGUAAUUUUUAAGUAAUUUGUGCCACCCCUCACAUGGGUGAACACUUGUUCAAGCAAGCAUAUGUUGUAACUUUUAAUGGAGUUUAAGAACACCCUAUAAAACCACAUCUAUUAAUAUUGCACUAACAUAAGUUUUC